rnacentral:lncRNA from 1 species
GAAGGUUCAUGUCAGCGUGUUUCUGUUUUUCUUUACAGUGCAUCACUAGAUGAAGGAAGCAGCUCAGCCUCUGCCUUGUGUGGACAGCCUUCUUCAUCUUGCUCGUUUGAUGGAAGUUUGAAAUCAGAGAGCAGUGACUCAGAGCCAAGAUGGCCAGAGGUUCCUCCUGUGCUUAACCAGAAUGAGGAUCGGAGAAGAAACAAGUACCUGAGAAAAGACUACCUGAAGUAUAAGUGCCAAAGUGCUCGAAGAAACUCCAGUGGCAACGACAAUGAUUGUGAGGUGAGACUUUGUGCUGUGACUGUCUACGUGCCAAGAUUCUCCUUGCAUGAAUAUUUAUUAGAGGCCAGCUGAGUCACAUCACCACAGUAGAGCAACUCCACAAUUAAAGGGGUCAUGAAAUGCAGUUUUAGUUCUUCAUAAUAUUUCCCAAGGUCUGUUUAUAAAAAAAGGG